ACGAAGGGGGCUAGCGUUGUUCGGAUUUACUGGGCGUAAAGCGCACGUAGGCGGUUUGUUAAGUCAGAGGUGAAAUCCCGGAGCUCAACUCCGGAACUGCCUUUGAUACUGGCAAGCUAGAGUCCGGAAGAGGUGAGUGGAACUCCUAGUGUAGAGGUGGAAUUCGUAGAGAUCGGGAGGAACAUCAGUGGCGAAGGCGGCCAUCUGGGACAACACUGACGCUGAAGCACGAAAGCGUGGGGAGCAAACAGGA
rnacentral:rRNA from 1 species